UACGAACUGUGCAAACGUUAUUCGGAAUCACUGGGCUUAAAGGGUGCGUAGGCGGCUUAUCAAGUAGGGUGUGAAAGCCCCCGGCUUAACCGGGGAAUUGCGCCCUAAACUGACGAGCUGGAGUGGGACAGGGGUGUGUGGAACUUCCGGUGGAGCGGAGAAAUGUGUUGAUAUCGGAAGGAACGCCGGUGGCGAAAGCGACACACUGGGUCUCAACUGACGCUGAGGCACGAAAGCCAGGGGAGCGAACGGG
rnacentral:rRNA from 1 species